GAUACCCGUCCCUGUGGUAGACCUGAAGCUACACGUCUGUGGCAGAGAUGGUUUCAAAGUAACAAGAGUGCCACGAUACGCUGAACUUCUUGCUGGUCUGAUGAACACUUCCAGGUUUUCAAAACUGCUGUGGGAAGAAUCAAAAAGAACAUGAAGACUUGUCUACAAACCUACGUGUGCCCAGCUAAGUGCUAAUUCUCAAUAUGAUCAGGAUUUCUAUUGCAUGGCCCCAGGCUUCUGCAGGCAGCCAGCACUGCUGUAAUUAUUGAUCUCCCCUGGAGAGCCAAGGAAUGAAAUCACAGGAAAAUGGAGCUGUGUCUUGGGAUGGUUACCUCUAAG